UGGGGAAUAUUGGGCAAUGGGGGAAACCCUGACCCAGCAACGCCGCGUGAAGGAAGAAGGCUUUCGGGUUGUAAACUUCUUUUACCAGGGACGAAGGACGUGACGGUACCUGGAGAAAAAGCCACGGCUAACUACGUGCCAGCAGCCGCGGUAAUACGUAGGUGGCAAGCGUUGUCCGGAAUUAUUGGGUUUAAAGGGAGUGUAGGUGGAUUUUUAAGUGGGAUGUGAAAUACCCGGGCUUAACCUGGGUGCUGCAUUCCAAACUGGAGAUCUAGAGUGCAGGAGGGGAAAGCGGAAUUCCUAGUGUAGCGGUGAAAUGCGUAGAGAUUAGGAAGAACACCAGUGGCGAAGGCGGCUUUCUGGACUGUAACUGACACUGAGGCU
rnacentral:rRNA from 1 species